GUAACCGGCCCACCAAGGCGACGACGGGUAGCUGGUCUGAGAGGGUGUCCAGCCACACUGGGACUGAGACACGGCCCAGACUCCUACGGGAGGCAGCAGUUAGGAAUCUUGCGCAAUGGACGAAAGUCUGACGCAGCGACGCCGCGUGCGGGAUGAAUGCCUUCGGGUUGUAAACCGCUUUCAGCAGGGACGAAAUUGACGGUACCUGCAGAAGAAGCCCCGGCCAACUACGUGCCAGCAGCCGCGGUAAUACGUAGGGGGCGAGCGUUGUCCGGAUUUAUUGGGCGUAAAGAGCUCGUAGGCGGUUUGGCAAGUCGGAUGUGAAAUCUCCAGGCUCAACCUGGAGGGGUCAUUCGAAACUGCCAUGACUAGAGUUCGGUAGGGGAGUGUGGAAUUCCUGGUGGAGCGGUGAAAUGCGCAGAUAUCAGGAGGAACACCCGUAGCGAAGGCGGCACUCUGGGCCGAUACUGACACUGAGGAGCGAAAGCGUGGGGAGCGAACAGGAUUAGAUACCCUGGUAGUCCACGCCGUAAACGUUGGGCACUAGGUG
rnacentral:rRNA from 1 species